ACCAGAGGGCCAGGGUCCUGCCGCGCUCGCCCCGCUGCGGCCUCUGGGCCGCGCGCGGUUCCCGCCGCCACAGCUUGGGAGGACACGCGGGCGAUCGGGCAUGGCCCAUCCAGUGGCGCCGCGCUGCCUCCCCAGGCCUCGGCCAGCCCUCGGCGCCGCACAAAGAGCCCAGGCCCGAUUGGCCUUUAAAGGCGGCAGCCAAAGCUUUAAGGUGCCCCGGCGUUCCGUGCCCCAUACUCUGCCGACUUCGAUGUGUGCUUCAUGGCGAGCGACUGGUCGCUGCGCCCACGUCGCAGUGUCCCCUCCAUUGUUGAUGUCCUGGGCUUAGGGGCUUUGGGUAGGUUGAUCUAUAAAGAAAUCAGCAGACUAGGAGAGGAAGGUGAGGAGCCCAGCUGUGAGGUGUGUACACCCAAGAACCAUGUCUACACGGGAGUCCUUUAACCCGGAAAGUUAUGAAUUGGACAAGAGCUUCCGGCUAACCAGAUUCACAGAACUGAAGGGUACUGGCUGCAAAGUGCCCCAAGAUGUCCUGCAGAAAUUGUUGGAAUCCUUACAAGAGAACCACUUCCAAGAAGAUGAACAGUUUCUGGGAGCAGUUAUGCCAAGGCUUGGAAUUGGAAUGGAUACUUGUGUCAUUCCUUUGAGGCAUGGUGGUCUUUCCUUGGUGCAAACCACAGAUUAUAUUUAUCCUAUCGUUGAUGACCCUUACAUGAUGGGCAGAAUAGCAUGUGCCAAUGUCCUCAGUGACCUCUAUGCAAUGGGGGUCACAGAAUGUGACAAUAUGCUGAUGCUCCUUGGAAUCAGUAAUAAAAUGACUGACAGGGAAAGGGAUAAAGUGAUGCCCCUAAUUAUACAGGGUUUUAAAGAUGCAGCAGAGGAGGCAGGAACGUCUGUAACGGGCGGCCAAACAGUGUUAAACCCCUGGAUUGUUUUGGGAGGAGUGGCUACAACUGUCUGCCAGCCCAAUGAAUUUAUCAUGCCAGAUAAUGCCGUGCCUGGGGAUGUGCUCGUUCUGACCAAGCCCCUGGGGACACAAGUGGCAGUGGCAGUGCACCAGUGGCUGGAUAUUCCUGAAAAAUGGAAUAAAAUUAAACUAGUGGUCACCCAGGAAGAUGUGGAGUUGGCAUACCAGGAGGCGAUGAUGAAUAUGGCGAGGCUCAACAGAACAGCUGCAGGGCUCAUGCACACGUUCAAUGCCCAUGCUGCCACUGACAUCACGGGCUUUGGAAUUCUGGGCCACGCACAGAACCUGGCCAAGCAACAGAGGAAUGAGGUGUCCUUUGUGAUUCACAACCUCCCUGUCCUGGCCAAGAUGGCAGCUGUGAGCAAGGCCUGUGGAAACAUGUUUGGCCUCAUGCAUGGGACCUGCCCGGAGACAUCAGGAGGCCUUCUAAUCUGUUUACCACGUGAACAAGCAGCUCGGUUCUGUGCAGAGAUAAAGUCCCCCAAAUAUGGUGAAGGUCACCAGGCAUGGAUUAUUGGGAUCGUAGAGAAGGGCAACCGUACAGCCAGAAUCAUAGACAAACCCCGGAUCAUCGAAGUCGCACCACAGGUGGCUACUCAAAAUGUGAAUCCCACACCUGGUGCCACCUCUUAAUCUAGACCGAAAUAGCUGUUUGGUUUUGUUUUUAAAUAGAUCUAUUUCCUUUAUCAUCAUUUCAAUUAAAGACUAUAAACAACAAAAAUCUCAUUGUGUCUACACAUUGGUGACCUGAGGUCAAUUUGUGAACGGAUGCAAUUAAUAAAAUAAAAUCCAUUGCCUUUUUUUUCCUGUUACAUUAACUGAAGAUGCACCUAAUCUUGAGGCAGCUUCUGAGUUGAGAAUUAUAUUGUUAUCCAAUACUGUUGAUUCAUUUUGAAUCUUUAGACACUUAUCUCUUGCCGCAUAGGCUCUUUUUAAAGGUGCUUUCACAUAGCACAGACAUUACCAAUUGUAGUGUCAACUUGCAGUUUGUGUCUUUCACUUCAUGUAUAUUUAUCAUCAGUCUGAUCUCUAAGUGUCUCGAAUGGUAUUCUGGACAGACGGAAUUGAAGCAGAGGCCUCCUUAUAUUGUAAACUACUAAGUGAUUUGGAGGGAUUCCUGUCAUUAAGCACAAGUGCACUGGCCCCUCAAGUGUCUGCAUGAGAGAAAAAGCACCACAUCACUGCAAGCUUAUGAAUGCUUCCCGCUUACAGGCAGUAGAGCCAUGUGAACCAAUCAACUUCUUGCCAAAGGAAACCGCCACUGAGGAGAGAAAGCCCCUGGAAGAGGCUUUACUAUGGACACUCCCCUACCCCUUUUGGGACCCCAAGGGCAGCCUGUCGGGCACAUGUCACUGGUGUCACUGGCACUCAAGCCGUAAGGAUUGUGUGUGGUACCUGGGAGGCUGCUACAGAACUGAAAUUAAUUGGACAUUCUUAGGGAUUUAUACAGAUGUUGGUCCUCAAAAGUUAAAAACCAUUGGUCUGCAAAAUAAAAUGUGUUGGAAACCUCAGAAAUGAA